rnacentral:rRNA from 1 species
CUCAACCGAGGAAUUGCUUGGUGAACCGCAUGUCUUGAGACAGGUAGGGGUCAUCGGAACGCUCGGUGGAGUGGUGAAAUGCGUUGAUAUCGAGCGGAACGCCAAAGGAGAAAUCAGAUGACUGGGCCUGUUCUGACGCUGAGGUACGAAAGCGUGGGGAGCGAACGGGAUUAGAUACCCCGGUAGUCCACGCCGUAAACGAUGUGCACUAGGUCGAGGAGGUACUGACGCCGUUCUCGGCCGAAGCGAAAGUGUUUAGUGCACCGCCUGGGGAGUACGGUCGCAAGGCUAAAACUCAAAGGAAUUGACGGGGGCUCACACAAGCGGUGGAGCAUGUGGCUUAAUUCGAAGCAACGCGAAGAACCUUAUCCUGGGCUUGACAUGCACGGAUUAA